AGCGAACGCUGGCGGCAGGCCUAACACAUGCAAGUCGAACGAAGUCUUCGGACUUAGUGGCGGACGGGUGAGUAACACGUGGGAACGUGCCUUUAGGUUCGGAAUAACUCAGGGCAACUUGUGCUAAUACCGAAUGUGCCCUUCGGGGGAAAGAUUUAUCGCCUUUAGAGCGGCCCGCGUCUGAUUAGCUAGUUGGUGGGGUAAUGGCCCACCAAGGCUACGACCAGUAGCUGGUCUGAGAGGAUGACCAGCCACAUUGGGACUGAGACACGGCCCAAACUCCUACGGGAGGCAGCAGUGGGGAAUCUUGCGCAAUGGGCGAAAGCCUGACGCAGCCAUGCCGCGUGGAUGAUGAAGGUCUUAGGAUUGUAAAAUCCUUUCACCGGUGAAGAUAAUGACUGUAGCCGGAGAAGAAGCCCCGGCUAACUUCGUGCCAGCCGCCGCUGUAAAAC
rnacentral:rRNA from 1 species